rnacentral:rRNA from 1 species
UACGAAGGGUGCAAGCGUUGUUCGGAAUCACUGGGCGUAAAGAAUGCGUAGGCGGCUUAACAAGUCAGGAGUGAAAUCCCAGGGCUCAACCCUGGAACUGCUCUUGAAACUGUUUUGCUAGAGUCCCGGAGGGGUUAGCGGAAUUCCGAGUGUAGAGGUGAAAUUCGCAGAUAUUCGGAGGAACACCAGUGGCGAAGGCGGCUAACUGGACGGGAACUGACGGCUGAGGCAUGGAAAGUGUGGGGAUCAAACAGG